CAUUUGCAUACUCAUUUGAAUGGGCUGCUCGUACGUAGAUUAGCAGAAAGGUUGGUCGCUGAUUGCCGUGCUUUCUUGGGAAUACUGAGAUCAUAUUAGACACACAAGGUCCAGCGUGCAUCUAGUGAACUUGACCGGAUGCUGUUGCUGAGACAGAGCAACCAGACCAGGACUGUACUUCCUCAUCCUUUUUUAGGAUAAAUCUUUUGUGACACUAUUUUAUAUUUGCUUUUUGCGUUUUACACUCGUGUUUUUUUCUGCAGUACUUUCCCCUUUAGCGUUGCUGUUUUUUGUUUUUUGCGCUUCAGUUUUUACCUUCCUCUAUGUUAUCUGGGGCGUGGGAAGAGGAGAAAGGUGUGGCCAAGAUGGAAAGGCAUGUCAUGCACGUUUCUCGUCAUCAGCUGGAGCUCCCGCCGCACAACCGACGUUUCAACCAUCGAUGUAUACAUAGAUGCCGCGUGGGGUCCAGCCAGGCACGGCAACAGCGCCGCCAUUUUGGGGCGGUCAACAUCCCUGCUGGACUGUAUUCAGUAUCAUUGACUCUCAUUACAGAGAAAGACACUGUCCAAAAUUAUACUAUUUAAAGAAUAUUGCACUCAGAAAGCGGGAUGUACACAUGUAUAUAAAGCAUACAUACAUAGGUGCGUGCACGCGUGCGCGCGUUUGUGCGCGUGUAAACGUGAAAGUGUAAUGAGAAAGAAAUAAUGACUUUGAAUGAGCUGUACUAGGAAAACGGCAGGAAAAUGGCUUAAUGGUUUACGCGUCUAACUGCGGUUCAACUUCGGUUAAGUCCGUCGCAUAACACGGUGACCUUUCUUUCUUUCGUCUUUUUUUUCUUGCCUUCUGUAAGGCUAGCUAACGUUAGCUGCCUGGCUAAGUGGAUUACGUGGUUCCGAGCUGUGCGCGUGGGAUCGGUUGCUAGGUGAUGCGGCACUGAUUCCCAGUGUGCUGCACUACAAUCCCCAGCAUGUAGUGCGAAAAAUGUAGCUGUGCAUUCCCUGCUAGAGGUCAAUUGAGUGUGUCCAAUCGGCUUGCCCACAUGUCUUUGGGAUUGCGGGAGGAAACCGGAGAGCCCGGAGUAAACCCACGCGGACACGGGGAGAACAUGCAAACUCCACACAGAGAGGACCCCGCCCGAGAUUCGAACCGGGACCCUUCGUGCUGUGAGGCAACAAUGCUACCCACGUUUUUCCUUUGUACUUUUAAAAGUUCCCAGAAGAAGCACAAGGAGAACACGACACGCAAGCAACACCCAGAAGGUACCAUGUUCAAAGUGAAACCCAGGUCCUUCUUGCUGUGAGGUGACAGUGCUAUCCACUGAAGCAUCGGGCCUCGGCACGCACUAAGACGCAUGUCACUCAAGUACCACAUUAUUACAGUGUUGAAAUAAAUGAUAAAUGUUUCUUGUU